UACGAAGGGGGCUAGCGUUGCUCGGAAUCACUGGGCGUAAAGGGUGCGUAGGCGGGUCUUUAAGUCAGGGGUGAAAUCCUGGAGCUCAACUCCAGAACUGCCUUUGAUACUGAGGAUCUUGAGUUCGGGAGAGGUGAGUGGAAUUUCCGGUGUAGCGGUGAAAUGCGCAGAUAUCGGGAGGAACACCAGUAGCGAAGGCGGCACUCUGGGCCGUGACUGACGCUGAGGAGCGAAAGCGUGGGUAGCAAACAGG
rnacentral:rRNA from 1 species